rnacentral:rRNA from 1 species
UCCCCGGGCUCAACCUGGGAACUGCAUUGGUGACUGGCAGGCUAGAGUAUGGCAGAGGGGGGUAGAAUUCCACGUGUAGCAGUGAAAUGCGUAGAGAUGUGGAGGAAUACCGAUGGCGAAGGCAGCCCCCUGGGCCAAUACUGACGCUCAUGCACGAAAGCGUGGGGAGCAAACAGGAUUAGAUACCCUGGUAGUCCACGCCCUAAACGAUGUCAACUAGUUGUUGGGGAUUCAUUUCCUUAGUAACGUAGCUAACGCGUGAAGUUGACCGCCUGGGGAGUACGGUCGCAAGAUUAAAACUCAAAGGAAUUGACGGGGACCCGCACAAGCGGUGGAUGAUGUGGAUUAAUUCGAUGCAACGCGAAAAACCUUACCUACCCUUGACAAAGGAAUCCUG